GCUCCGGUAGUAUAGUCCGGUCAAGUAUGGCGGCCUCUCGAGCCGCAGACCCGGGUUCAAAUCCCGGCCGGAGCA
rnacentral:tRNA from 4 species